ensembl:rRNA 5S_rRNA 5S ribosomal RNA
GUCUACAGCCAUACCACCCUGAACGCGCCCGAUCUCGUCUGAUCUCAGAAGCUAAGCGGGGUCGGGCCUGGUUAGUACUUGGAUGGGAGACAGAAGGGAUGAGCACUGAGCAGAGUCC